CAUGCAAGUCGAGCGAUGAACCACUUCGGUGGGGAUUAGUGGCGAACGGGUGAGUAACACGUGGGCAAUCUGCCCUUCACUCUGGGACAAGCCCUGGAAACGGGGUCUAAUACCGGAUACAACCACUACAGGCAUCUGUGGGUGGUGGAAAGCUCCGGCGGUGAAGGAUGAGCCCGCGGCCUAUCAGCUUGUUGGUGAGGUAACGGCUCACCAGGGCGACGACGGGUAGCCGGCCUGAGAGGGCGACCGGCCACACUGGGACUGAGACACGGCCCAGACUCCUACGGGAGGCAGCAGUGGGGAAUAUUGCACAAUGGGCGAAAGCCUGAUGCGGCGACGCCGCGUGAGGGAUGACGGCCUUCGGGUUGUAAACCUCUUUCAGCAGGGAAGAAGCGAAAGUGACGGUACCUGCAUAAGAAGCGCCGGCUAACUACGUGCCAGCAGCCGCGGUAAUACGUAGGGCGCGAGCGUUGUCCGGAAUUAUUGGGCGUAAAGAGCUCGUAGGCGGUCUGUCGCGUCGGAUGUGAAAGCCCGGGGCUUAACCCCGGGUCUGCAUUCGAUACGGGCAGACUAGAGUGUGGUAGGGGAGAUCGGAAUUCCUGGUGUAUCGGUGAAAUGCGCAGAUAUCAGGAGGAACACCGGUGGCGAAGGCGGAUCUCUGGGCCAUUACUGACGCUGAGGAGCGAAAGCGUGGGGAGCGA
rnacentral:rRNA from 1 species